CGGGUGAGUAACGCGUGGGUAACCUGCCUCAUUACAGGGGGAUAACAGUUAGAAAUGACUGCUAAUACCGCAUAAGCGCACAGUGCUGCAUGGCACAGUGUGAAAAACUCCGGUGGUAUGAGAUGGACCCGCGUCUGAUUAGCUAGUUGGUGGGGUAACGGCCUACCAAGGCGACGAUCAGUAGCCGGCCUGAGAGGGUGAACGGCCACAUUGGGACUGAGACACGGCCCAAACUCCUACGGGAGGCAGCAUG
rnacentral:rRNA from 1 species